GUUAAACCUAACUCUCCCUUUAUCCUCUCGAGCUCCACACUCCAAAUGAGAACUUCGGAGUCAUCUUCCUCUCCAUUCACGCUCCAAACCUUUCUCCUCAGCGCCUUCAUCCACCACAUUCUUCCAUCAUCAACACCUUUGGGACUUCCAUCACUCUCGUCGUCGUCAAUCAUCGUUGUUCCCGUCCUGUCCCUUCUCUUCCCCUCUUUUACGAGGACAAACCCUAAUCCUCCUUCAACGAAUUUUUCUUCUCUUCAAACCUAACACCGAUGAGACUGGCAGUGAGGAUGAUGGCCUUUUGGAUCUGAGUGAAGAUGAUUUUUUUUCGUUGGGAGUUCUAGUGAUGAAGCAGAUACAAAUCAUGAAUGGACAGACAAAAGUACGAGGUGGGUAGACAUGUUUUACAACUUAAGCAGUUAUUAUAUUAUGAAAAUUCAUAUACUCGCAGCAAGGUAAACGAUGUUAAGAAGAGCAACUGGAGUAUACCUGUUUGUGAUGCUAGUAUGGUCAAAUUGAAGCCAGUAAAUGGGUGUCAAUGAGUGGUCAAAUUGUUGAUGCUAGUAUGGUCAAAUUGAAGCCAGUAAAUGGGUGUCAAUGAGUGGUCAAAUUGUUGAUGCUAGUAUGGUCAAAUUGAAGCAAUGUAAACGAUGUUAAGAAGAGCAACUUAGUUACAAGAGUUUAUUAGUAGUGGGUGUUAGCUGUUAGUACUGAUGCUUUUCUAUAAAUAUAUAUAGUGCUAGCCCCCUGUUUCAAUAUACAUAUUACUCCAUCUGUUUCUGCUCUUUCACUUAUUAUUCUCUCCAUUCUUUUUCUUGUUGUGAGAUUCACUAAUUAACAAACAAGAACAUGGAGUGGUGGGUGUCAAUGCCAAAAGUGGAGUUGCAUGCUCAUCUCAAUGGAUCCAUUAGAGACUCCACAGUGCUGUAUAGAACUCAUAAAAGCCUUAGGUGAAAAGGGUGUGAUAAAUUUUUCUCAAGUGGAGCAUAUUAUCAUGAAGUGUAUAUGUAUCAUGAAGAGUAUGUGUAUAUAUAAUUAAUAACCUUUAUUAUUAUUAUUAUUAUUAUUAUUAUUAUUAUUAUUAUUAUUAUUAUUUUUCUUUUUGGCUCCUAAAAGACAAACACAACCUAUAAUGUCCCUCAUGUGGUUCUCUUUAUGUUCCUACUUGAUUUUGAUUCUUGAUGUAUUGUGUGUAAGCUUUUUAGCUCAAUUUUGUUAACAACAGCAUCCAUAGUAAGGGUCUAGUGCAUCUGGCAAAGCAGUGUCUGGUGGCAUGUCCAAUGAUGAAAAAAAAAAUCAGGUAUGCAGUAUGAGCAGUAAUUGCUUUUCUCCUUAUUUUUUUAUUUAAUAGUAUCUUUUGCCCAUUCUUUCAGAGACAGAUUUCUGCUAGAGCUUUAAUGCCCCUUCCUCGCCCCUCAAACAAGAAGCUGUCAAGGUGUAAAUAUAUCAACCAUUUUAAAAUACCCCCAUUUUAAAAUGGUGAAUCUUAUGAUAACUAUGAAUAUGCUAGUUAUGACAACACUUAAAAAGUAUAGUUUAAAUUAAGAUCAUAGUUUUAUAUUAACUGGUAACAUUUUUAAUUUAAUCACACUUUCAUAUUAACUGGCACGGUUUAGUUCGAGUUGGUUAGAGCGUUGGAUGAAAGAAAGAGAAAACAUAGAUUUAGCCAUGAAUUAAGAAUUUAGACCUUAGGAAUAUGCAUUGGUUUAUACACAGUUUGAAUUUUCAAGAUUCAUACCAUUGUGUAAAAAUAUUUAUGGUCUUGUUGACUUGAUGUUAUCAUCUAAUUUAUGUAUGCAGUUCUUUCUCAUCUUUUCAUUUUCUUUCAGUAUUCUUGUCUUGUCAACAGGAUUGCUUAACUGUUUUAGCCAACUAACAGUCGUCUUGAUGCGACCAUCAGUCUAACUGACCUAAUUUAAUUGUUCUCUGUGCCAGAUUUGCCAAGUCUUGAUUGCAAUGCAGAGGGGUGAUAACUUAAGGGCCGAGGUUCUAAAUUUAUUGCAUAAGCAUAUAUCUCUUGAUCAUAUGUUGUGUUGUGAAAUCCAUCUUGGAAAUUUUAUCUGCUUUGGUUGAUCACCCUUAAUGAUAUCUUGUGGACCUCGUAUUACUCUAUUGAAAAUGCUAACUUAAGAAUGUUCUCCUUUGCCACUUGUGAAAUGUCAGGAUUAUAUGCUUUUUGACCCUUUCAUAUAUCAUGGGAUGGCUGAACUGCAUGACAAGCACAGAGAAAUGCGCCUUGGUGUUGAUAACACGUCUUAUGAGGAAUUGUUGGCAUUGGAGGAGCGAAUUGGAGAUGUCAGCACUGGAUUGAGCGAGGAUGUCAUUAUGAAGUCGAUGAAACAGCAAAUAUACAUGUCUGUUAUGGCGGAGUCUUCUACAGAUCUUGAGCCUUGUUGUAUCUGUCAGGUAAGAGUUAUGGUCUCAGCUAAUUAAGGUGCAAUUACAAGUUGGGAAGGAAACAACUCAAUGAGUAAAAGGGAGUCUGUCUUACUCUUGAAACCCUUUUAUUAUUCUAUCUUUUCCUCCAAGACCCAAAUUCCCCAACACACCCUUAAAGUAAAGAGGGGAUUCUCUCCCAAUUGACAGCAUCAUUGCUCCAUUUGAAGUUGAGACAGAUUGAGAUUUGUCAGGAGGAAAACAAAAUCCUAGAGAAAAUACACCGCCAAAAGAUUUUGGAAGUUGAAAAGCUUAGCCCAACUAUUUAAGAACUCGAGGAAACCAUCUUAGCAAGCCGAGCCACUACUAAUGCCAUUCGUGAUUACCAACGGCGGAUUUUUGAGCUGCUAGUAGGCAUAUCUUGAACUCAUUUUCUCAUAUAAUAUCUGACUGGUUAGUAUGUGUGGUAACUUGGAGUUGCACCAUCAUGCUGGAGGAGAAGAAAACAUUGGAGAGGGAACUAGCAAGGGAAAAAAUGGACUUGGUAUAGUUUUAGUAUGGUUCGGAUGAGGACUAUGAUGAUGAGGAUGAAGAUGACACUGAAAAUUAUAGUUGAUAGUUUUAGUUUGGUUGAACAAUAUACUGGAAAUUAUAGUUGAUGAUCAAUACAUUUUGUUUAUAUUUUGAAUUAUA